GGGGCAGUAGCUCAGUCGCGUAGAGUGGUGGUUUGAAGAGACACAGGUCGUAGGUUCGAGUCCUACCUGCCCCA
rnacentral:tRNA from 1 species